rnacentral:rRNA from 1 species
UUAAGCGACUAAGCGUACACGGUGGAUGCCCUGGCAGUCAGAGGCGAUGAAGGACGUGCUAAUCUGCGAUAAGCGUCGGUGAGGUGAUAUGAACCGUUAUAACCGGCGAUUUCCGAAUGGGGAAACCCAGUGUGUUUCGACACACUAUCAUUAACUGAAUCCAUAGGUUAAUGAGGCGAACCGGGGGAACUGAAACAUCUAAGUACCCCGAGGAAAAGAAAUCAACCGAGAUUCCCCCAGUAGCGGCGAGCGAACGGGGAGGAGCCCAGAGCCUGAAUCAGUGUGUGUGUUAGUGGAAGCGUCUGGAAAGGCGCGCGAUACAGGGUGACAGCCCCGUACACAAAAAUGCACAUGCUGUGAGCUCGAUGAGUAGGGCGGGACACGUGGUAUCCUGUCUGAAUAUGGGGGGACCAUCCUCCAAGGCUAAAUACUCCUGACUGACCGAUAGUGAACCAGUACCGUGAGGGAAAGGCGAAAAGAACCCCGGCGAGGGGAGUGAAAAAGAACCUGAAACCGUGUACGUACAAGCAGUGGGAGCCUCUUUAUGGGGUGACUGCGUACCUUUUGUAUAAUGGGUCAGCGACUUAUAUUCUGUAGCAAGGUUAACCGAAUAGGGGAGCCGAAGGGAAACCGAGUCUUAACUGGGCGUUAAGUUGCAGGGUAUAGACCCGAAACCCGGUGAUCUAGCCAUGGGCAGGUUGAAGGUUGGGUAACACUAACUGGAGGACCGAACCGACUAAUGUUGAAAAAUUAGCGGAUGACUUGUGGCUGGGGGUGAAAGGCCAAUCAAACCGGGAGAUAGCUGGUUCUCCCCGAAAGCUAUUUAGGUAGCGCCUCGUGAAUUCAUCUCCGGGGGUAGAGCACUGUUUCGGCAAGGGGGUCAUCCCGACUUACCAACCCGAUGCAAACUGCGAAUACCGGAGAAUGUUAUCACGGGAGACACACGGCGGGUGCUAACGUCCGUCGUGAAGAGGGAAACAACCCAGACCGCCAGCUAAGGUCCCAAAGUCAUGGUUAAGUGGGAAACGAUGUGGGAAGGCCCAGACAGCCAGGAUGUUGGCUUAGAAGCAGCCAUCAUUUAAAGAAAGCGUAAUAGCUCACUGGUCGAGUCGGCCUGCGCGGAAGAUGUAACGGGGCUAAACCAUGCACCGAAGCUGCGGCAGCGACACUAUGUGUUGUUGGGUAGGGGAGCGUUCUGUAAGCCUGUGAAGGUGUACUGUGAGGUAUGCUGGAGGUAUCAGAAGUGCGAAUGCUGACAUAAGUAACGAUAAAGCGGGUGAAAAGCCCGCUCGCCGGAAGACCAAGGGUUCCUGUCCAACGUUAAUCGGGGCAGGGUGAGUCGACCCCUAAGGCGAGGCCGAAAGGCGUAGUCGAUGGGAAACAGGUUAAUAUUCCUGUACUUGGUGUUACUGCGAAGGGGGGACGGAGAAGGCUAUGUUGGCCGGGCGACGGUUGUCCCGGUUUAAGCGUGUAGGCUGGUUUUCCAGGCAAAUCCGGAAAAUCAAGGCUGAGGCGUGAUGACGAGGCACUACGGUGCUGAAGCAACAAAUGCCCUGCUUCCAGGAAAAGCCUCUAAGCAUCAGGUAACAUCAAAUCGUACCCCAAACCGACACAGGUGGUCAGGUAGAGAAUACCAAGGCGCUUGAGAGAACUCGGGUGAAGGAACUAGGCAAAAUGGUGCCGUAACUUCGGGAGAAGGCACGCUGAUAUGUAGGUGAAGCGACUUGCUCGUGGAGCUGAAAUCAGUCGAAGAUACCAGCUGGCUGCAACUGUUUAUUAAAAACACAGCACUGUGCAAACACGAAAGUGGACGUAUACGGUGUGACGCCUGCCCGGUGCCGGAAGGUUAAUUGAUGGGGUUAGCGGUAACGCGAAGCUCUUGAUCGAAGCCCCGGUAAACGGCGGCCGUAACUAUAACGGUCCUAAGGUAGCGAAAUUCCUUGUCGGGUAAGUUCCGACCUGCACGAAUGGCGUAAUGAUGGCCAGGCUGUCUCCACCCGAGACUCAGUGAAAUUGAACUCGCUGUGAAGAUGCAGUGUACCCGCGGCAAGACGGAAAGACCCCGUGAACCUUUACUAUAGCUUGACACUGAACAUUGAGCCUUGAUGUGUAGGAUAGGUGGGAGGCUUUGAAGUGUGGACGCCAGUCUGCAUGGAGCCGGCCUUGAAAUACCACCCUUUAAUGUUUGAUGUUCUAACGUUGGCCCCUGAUCGGGGUUGCGGACAGUGUCUGGUGGGUAGUUUGACUGGGGCGGUCUCCUCCUAAAGAGUAACGGAGGAGCACGAAGGUUGGCUAAUCCUGGUCGGACAUCAGGAGGUUAGUGCAAUGGCAUAAGCCAGCUUGACUGCGAGCGUGACGGCGCGAGCAGGUGCGAAAGCAGGUCAUAGUGAUCCGGUGGUUCUGAAUGGAAGGGCCAUCGCUCAACGGAUAAAAGGUACUCCGGGGAUAACAGGCUGAUACCGCCCAAGAGUUCAUAUCGACGGCGGUGUUUGGCACCUCGAUGUCGGCUCAUCACAUCCUGGGGCUGAAGUAGGUCCCAAGGGUAUGGCUGUUCGCCAUUUAAAGUGGUACGCGAGCUGGGUUUAGAACGUCGUGAGACAGUUCGGUCCCUAUCUGCCGUGGGCGCUGGAGAACUGAGGGGGGCUGCUCCUAGUACGAGAGGACCGGAGUGGACGCAUCACUGGUGUUCGGGUUGUCAUGCCAAUGGCACUGCCCGGUAGCUAAAUGCGGAAGAGAUAAGUGCUGAAAGCAUCUAAGCACGAAACUUGCCCCGAGAUGAGUUCUCCCUGAGACUUAGAGUCUCCUGAAGGAACGUUGAAGACGACGACGUUGAUAGGCCGGGUGUGUAAGCGCAGCGAUGCGUUGAGCUAACCGGUACUAAUGAACCGUGAGGCUUAACCUU